ACUUGGGUAGUUUAACUAGAAUAUAACGUUGAAAGCGUUAAGGUGUCUUCUCUAAGUGUCCUAAGGUUAGACCUUCUCCAACUCCACAUGUUGGUAUCUUAUAUAAACUAUCAGAACAGA
rnacentral:tRNA from 1 species